rnacentral:rRNA from 1 species
AUUGAACGCUGGCGGCAGGCCUAACACAUGCAAGUCGAACGAGUGGCGGACGGGUGAGUAAUGUCUGGGAAACUGCCUGAUGUACGGGGAUAACUACUGGAAACGGUAGCUAAUACCGCAUACCAUCGGAUGUGCCCAGCGGGGAUUAGCUAGUUGGUGGGGUAAAGGCUCACCUAGGCGACGAUCCCUAGCUGGUCUGAGAGGAUGACCAGCCACACUGGAACUGAGACACGGUACAGACUCCUACGGGAGGCAGCAGUGGGGAAUAUUGCACAAAGGGCGCAAGCCUGAUGCAGCCAUGCCGCGUGUAUGAAGAAGGCCUUCGGGUUGUAAAGUACUUUCAGUGGGGAAGCGUUACCCGCAGAAGAAGCACCGGCUAACUCCGUGCCAGCAGCCGCGGUAAUUC